AGAGUAUAGUUCAGUGGUAGAGCACAUGCUUAGUAUGCCUGAGAUUUUGAGUUCAAUCCCCAGUACCUCUA
rnacentral:tRNA from 1 species